rnacentral:misc_RNA from 1 species
UAUAUAUAUAUUUCCAACAAACAUUCUAACGACAUUCAGAGAUUGUGAAAACAACAUAGACCUGGAGAAAAAUGCAAGGAAAGCCCACAUGGCAAUCCUCAAUCCAGGGGUCUACAAUAUGUGCACAGUUGGGAGAAACAAAGAUGACAAGCGUGCACUUACCCCACGAGGGGGGCCAGCAAAACAGCCUGUUCAAGUUUAUUCGAUAAUGAUCCUUCCGCAGGUUCACCUACGGAAA